rnacentral:rRNA from 1 species
GGAAAAGAAACCAACAGGGAUUGCCUCAGUAGCGGCGAGUGAAGCGGCAAAAGCUCAAAUUUGAAAUCUGGCGUCUUUGGCGUCCGAGUUGUAAUUUGAAGAAGGUAUCUUUGGGCCCGGCUCUUGUCUAUGUUCCUUGGAACAGGACGUCACAGAGGGUGAGAAUCCCGUGCGAUGAGAUGACCCGGGUCUGUGUAAAGUUCCUUCGACGAGUCGAGUUGUUUGGGAAUGCAGCUCUAAGUGGGUGGUAAAUUCCAUCUAAAGCUAAAUAUUGGCGAGAGACCGAUAGCGAACAAGUACAGUGAUGGAAAGAUGAAAAGAACUUUGAAAAGAGAGUGAAAAAGUACGUGAAAUUGUUGAAAGGGAAGGGCUUGAGAUCAGACUUGGUAUUUUGCAUGCUGCUCUCUCGGGGGCGGCCGCUGCGGUUUACCGGGCCAGCAUCGGUUUGGAGCGGCAGGAUAAUGGCGGAGGAAUGUGGCACGGCUUCUGCUGUGUGUUAUAG